rnacentral:rRNA from 1 species
AGAGUUUGAUUCUGGCUCAGAACGAACGCUGGCAGCGUGGAUUAGGCAUGCAAGUCGAACGGGAUCUUUUAAGUUAAUUCUUCGGAUGAGACUUUUAAGUGAGAGUGGCGGAAGGGUGAGUAAUGUAUGGGCAAUCUGCCCUCAAAGUGGGGAUAACUAUGAGAAAUUAUAGCUAAUACCGAAUGUGGCACUGUAACGCAUGUUGCAGCUGUUAAAGGUGGGGACCUUUCGAGGCCUACCCUUUGAGGAGGAGCCCGUAUGCCAUCAGCUUGUUGGUAGUGUAAUGGACUACCAAGGCUUACGGCUAGCUGGUCUGAGAGGACGACCAGCCACACUGGGACUGAGACACUGCCCAGACUCCUACGGGAGGCUGCAGUCGAGGAUCAUUCGCAAUGAGCGAAAGCUUGACGAUGCGACGCUGCGUGGAGGAUGAAGGCCCUCGGGUCGUAAACUCCUGUCAUAAGGGAAAAAGCGAGGUGCGAUAACAUCAAACUGAGUAGAUGGUACCUUAAGAGGAAGCCACGGCUAACUCUGUGCCAGCAGCCGCGGUAACACAGAGGUGGCGAGCGUUGUUCGGAUUUACUGGGCGUAAAGGGCGCGUAGGCGGUAUAGUAUGUCGGAUGUGAAAUCUCCAGGCUCAACCUGGAAAGUGCGUUCGAAACUGCUAAACUAGAGUACGGGAGGGGAGAUCGGAAUACAUGGUGUAGCGGUGAAAUGCGUUGAUAUCAUGUAGAACACCGGUGGCGAAGGCGGAUCUCUGGAACGUAACUGACGCUGAGGCGCGAAAGUCGGGGGAGCAAACAGGAUUAGAUACCCUGGUAGUCCCGACCGUAAACGGUGCACACUUGGGGUAGGGGGAUUUCACCCCCCCUGUCCCGGAGCUAACGCGUUAAGUGUGCCGCCUGGGGAGUACGGCCGCAAGGUUAAAUCUCAAAGAAAUUGACGGGGGCCCGCACAAGCAGAGGAGCAUGUGGCUUAAUUCGAUGCAACGCGAAGAACCUUACCCGGGUUUGACAUAUAACUGCACAUCCAUGGAAACAUGGAUUCCUUCGAGGGUGUUAUACAGGUGCUGCAUGGCUGUCGUCAGUUCGUGCCGUGAGGUGUUUGGUUAAGUCCAGCAACGAACGCAACCCCUAUGUUUAGUUGCCAGCGGGUAAUGCCGGGAACUCUAGACAGACUGCCUGUUUACACAGGAGGAAGGUGGGGACGACG